GUGGAUUAGAUACCCUAGUAGUCCACGCCGUAAACGUUGGGAACUAGAUGUGGGGACCUUUCCACGGUCUCCGUGUCGCAGCUAACGCAUUAAGUUCCCCGCCUGGGGAGUACGGCCGCAAGGCUAAAACUCAAAGGAAUUGACGGGGGCCCGCACAAGCGGCGGAGCAUGCGGAUUAAUUCGAUGCAACGCGAAGAACCUUACCAAGGCUUGACAUAUACCGGAAACUUCCAGAAAUGGUUGCCCCGCAAGGUCGGUAUACAGGUGGUGCACGGCUGUCGACAGCU
rnacentral:rRNA from 1 species